UACGAAGGGGGCUAGCGUUGCUCGGAAUCACUGGGCGUAAAGGGUGCGUAGGCGGGUCUUUAAGUCAGGGGUGAAAUCCUGGAGCUCAACUCCAGAACUGCCUUUGAUACUGAGGAUCUUGAGUCCGGGAGAGGUGAGUGGAACUGCGAGUGUAGAGGUGAAAUUCGUAGAUAUUCGCAAGAACACCAGUGGCGAAGGCGGCUCACUGGCCCGGUACUGACGCUGAGGCACGAAAGCCAGGGGAGCAAACGGG
rnacentral:rRNA from 1 species